GAUGAGGUUCCUAUACUCCUCUUCCUGCCCACUCCUGAUGCAGCCCACAAUAGCAGUGUCAUCAGCGAACUUUUGCACGUGGCAGGACUCCGAGUUGUUUUGGAAGUCCGAUGUAUAUAGGCUGAACAGGACCGGAGAAAGUACAGUCCCCUGCGGCGCUCCUGUGUUGCUGACCACAAUGUCAGACCUGCAGUUCUCAAGACGCACAUACUGAGGUCUGUCUUUAAGAUAGUCCACCAUCCAUGCCACUAGGUAUGAAUCUACUCCCAUCUCUGUCAGCUUGUCCCUAAGGAGCAGAGGUUGGACUGAGACCCUUUGUAAACGGUGGUCUCCGUGCAGUACCAAGCAAAAUCCUGGAGGGGUUCACGUGAGGUAUGAAUGUGAUCCGACAGAACUGAUCUAACUUCUGGAAAUACUGUGCAUUGUGGGAUACAUUUUGGCUGCUGAUUAGGCAAUCUCAGUGUAAUAAUAAAUGCACACAUGCAUACAAGUUCACAUAGGGCACCUAGCACAAGUAACAGCCAAUCAGAUUAAUCCUAGCACCUGAUUCCACCUCAGAGCCUCUUUUCACUCUCACGAUUGGAUAGCAGUUGAUCACGUUAAAAAAAAAAGAAAAAGGUUUAAAUUCACUUGUGAUCAGGUGGAUCAAACUGACCACAUACAGAGUUGGUGAGAAACUAAUGCCCUCUGCAACUCCCAAUUAAUCCCUCCAAUCUGCACCACUAGAGUGAUGCAUGCAAAUGGACGUCUGUAGUGGCAAUGCUCCUCAGAGAAGGUGGGGGUGACACAGAGAAAAGAGAGCCCCCCACUCACAGUGGUCAGGGACGGACUCUGAAUGGCUGAUGGAUGGAGCUCUCCAUUUAGCUCAUGCCACAAAGCGAUUGCCUCCCAACCAGAGAUUGUGCGUUUGCGACUCACUGCCGACAGUUCACCAAAGAGCAAAUCUUUGAACUGAGACAAUUGGCGACAAGGGUGGGAUUUGCACUGUGGCAGGAUGAAGUGUAAAGGUGAUGUGGCGCAGAAAAGGUGGUGGCUGACACUAGAGAAAGAGAUCAGCUAAUGUCACCAAGAAGCACACAACGUGCAGUGGUAGGAGAUGGGGUCUGCACGGCUGACAGAUGGAGCUUUCCAUUUAGACCACGCUACAAAGUGCUCGCCUCUGAGCCGGAGAUCGUGCGAUUGUGACUAGUUGCCGACAGUUCACCAAAGAGCAAAUCUUUGAACUGAGACAAUUGGUGACAAGGGUGGGAUUUCCACUGUGGUCAGGUGGAGUGUAGUGGCGACAGUGCAGAGAAGGUGGAGGCUGACGCAGAGAGACAUCAGCUGAUAUCACCAGGAAACGCACCGCUCAUAGUGGUCAGAGAUAUGGGGUCUGCGUGGCUGACGGAUGGAGCUCUCCAUUUAGCUCACCGCACAAAGCACUCGCCUCUGAGCCGGAGAUUGUGCGUUUGCGACUCACUGCCAACAGUUCACCACAGAGCAACAAGGGUGGGAUUUCCACUGUGGUCGGGUGGAGUGUAGUGGCGACACAGUGCAGAGAAGGUAGGGGCUGACGCAGAGAGACAUCAGCUGAUAUCACCAGGAAGCACACCGCUCAUAAUGGUCAGAGAUAUGGGGUCUGCGUGGCUGACGGAUGGAGCUCUCCAUUUAGCUCACCCCACAAAGCACUCACCUCUGAGCCGGAGAUCGUGCGUUUGUGACUUGCUGCCAACAGUUCACCACAGAGCAAAUCUUUGAACUGAGACAAUUGGCAACAAGGGUGGGAUUUGCACAGUGGUCGGGUGGAGUGUAGUAGUGACACAGCGUAGAGAAGGUGGGGGCUGAUGCAGAGAUGGACUCUGUGCAACCAACAGAUGGAGCUUUUGCCACAAAGUGCUCACCUCUGAGCCGGAGUUUGCAAAUUUGUGACUCGCAGCUGACAGUUCACCACAGAGUCCAUUUUCAAACUGACACAAUGUCCUGUCAGUGUGCUCACACCUUGGGCACAAUUUAGACACACAUUAACUUUGAUACUUGUAGUAAAUGUUAACCCGACAUUCCAAAAUAAACAUUAAUAACAGAUAUUUACAGGCUUAAUGACUGCAGACAUGUGAUUUAAGAGGUGACAUUCAUAUACAGUAGGAACAUCAUACAGUGAAAUUACAUGCGCCUGAUACACUGACUGUCGGAAUGAAAUUGAAGCACAUCUCCACAUUCCCACUCUUGUACAGUUGCCUACAUGAAACGCGUCCCUUUCCGUGCCAUGUGAAGUAACACGUCGUGUUCAUGUGCUCUUCUAGUUGUCCGAUAACAUGCAUUCCUCUCACAGAGAUGUGAACAAACCACAUAGUUAUUUCAAUUGUGCUGGUGCAACAUUCCUGAUAAUUGCAUUCCUGCCCAAUGAAAGAAGUCCACAUUGUGCCCCUGGGUUAUUGAUUGUUACUUCUGGUUUGCUUGAAAGUUUGCUGUGUAAAAUACAACCAGACUACCUGGAAAUCGGAUCAAAGGAACUAGUCAUCUGAAUCGGAGCAAAGCAAAUGGGAAUUUGGGUGUGAAAACACUUAAAGACUGGGCCCCUGUGUAUCCGAUUCUAUGCAUUUUAGCACCGUUGGUCCCCCAGUGCUGCGUUCUUCCACCCCUAUUGUUCUAUCAUUUCACUAAUGACUGUACCUCCUUUGAUAAUUCGACAAAAAUUGUGAAAUCUGCUACUGAUAUAAUAGUUGUGGGUCUCAUCACUAAUAAUGGUGAGACCUGCUACUGGAGGUGAACCACAUGUGCUUUUAAUAAUGGAGAACUCAGCACCAUCAAAACAGUGGAAAUGGUGAUUGGCUUCUGCAGAUGCCCCUCUUGUCUGUCUGCACCAUGGGUAUCUUCGGCCUGACUGUUUCCAUGGUGGAGUCAUUUGAGUUUCUGGGGGCAACCAUUACUAAAAAUCUGAAGUGGGAUAAAGACCUCACUUUGAUUAUUGGGAAAUCACAGCAGGGGAAACACUCAACAU